GUAAAUGUCUUUGUCACUUUGCUAUUUCAUUUAGAUUUCUAGUCUUAACACAAUCUAUUUCUCUCUCCUUGUUUUAUUUCAGACCAGUAGGGAAGAGGAAGUUCUUAGAACAUAGACUCACUCCUUCUGGUGCUCCGUGGCUCCCCAAGUCUUGGGGUGGUAGCGGCUUAGUUCCCACGCCAUGCAGAUUCAAGGGGACACUGGAUGCCAGGUGACCCUGGCUUCAGGAGUUGGCAAGGGAUCUGCCCUAUGCCAAGCAGGAGUUCAGUUGAGCUCUAACAGACCUAGUUUCUGGGCUUUAUAAGACCAAUCAUCCCGACUGGUGCUGGAAGUCAUGGCUGAGGCUUCAGAAAAGGAGAAGACCAAGUGUUAAAAGAUUGCUUCUGUUCCAGCUGUGAAUAAGCUAUUAACUGCCUUGAGCCUUUAGGAGGUUAAACUACAGGAUCACCAAGACCCUUCUAAUUGUAAAAUUCAGAGCUAGAACAAAACCAGUUCUACCUCUGAGCUUCAUUUUCACCUUCCUGCCAUCAUGAUCCCUCUCCAGGCUGCCAUUCCAGGUUCCCUCUGUCCACCAUGUGGUCUACAUGUUAACCACACCCGUAUCUGAGCUGGUGCAUGCAAUGCUGCUUCUGCCUGGAAUUUUGUCCCUGCCUUUGACCCCUGAGCACUCCCUCAACACUCAAAUCAAGAAUCGCCAUCUUGAGAAGCUCUCUCCCCUUCCCAAAGCAGAAUGGUUAUUUCUGCCUUGGUGCUUUUAGAGAACCAUUAAAACAGUUACCAAAUCA